rnacentral:rRNA from 1 species
UGUUGACCUCGGAUCAGGUAGGAAUACCCGCUGAACUUAAGCAUAUCAAUAAGCGGAGGAAAAGAAACCAACAGGGAUUGCCUUAGUAACGGCGAGUGAAGCGGCAAAAGCUCAAAUUUGAAAUCUGGCACCCAUGCCGGUGUUCGAGUUGUAAUUUGGAGAGGCAUCUUCUGGAGGGGCCCAGCCUAUGUGCCUUGGAACAGGACGUCAUAUAGGGUGAGAAUCCCGUACUUGACUGGAUGUCCCUCCUGUAUGUAGUGUCUUCUACGAGUCGAGUUGUUUGGGAAUGCAGCUC